UACGGAGGGGGCUAGCGUUGUUCGGAAUUACUGGGCGUAAAGCGCACGUAGGCGGCUUUGCAAGUUAGAGGUGAAAGCCCGGGGCUCAACUCCGGAAUUGCCUUUAAAACUGCAUCGCUAGAAUUGUGGAGAGGUAAGUGGAAUUCCGAGUGUAGAGGUGAAAUUCGUAGAUAUUCGGAAGAACACCAGUGGCGAAGGCGACUUACUGGACACAUAUUGACGCUGAGGUGCGAAAGCGUGGGGAGCAAACAGA
rnacentral:rRNA from 1 species